CGGACGGGUGAGUAAUGCCUAGGAAUCUGCCUGGUAGUGGGGGACAACGUUUCGAAAGGAACGCUAAUACCGCAUACGUCCUACGGGAGAAAGCAGGGGACCUUCGGGCCUUGCGCUAUCAGAUGAGCCUAGGUGGAUUAGCUAGUUGGUGAGGUAAUGGCUCACCAAGGCGACGAUCCGUAACUGGUCUGAGAGGAUGAUCAGUCACACUGGAACUGAGACACGGUCCAGACUCCUACGGGAGGCAGCAGCG
rnacentral:rRNA from 1 species